rnacentral:rRNA from 1 species
UACGGAGGGGGCUAGCGUUGUUCGGAAUUACUGGGCGUAAAGCGCACGUAGGCGGCUUUGUAAGUUAGAGGUGAAAGCCCGGGGCUCAACUCCGGAAUUGCCUUUAAGACUGCAUCGCUAGAAUUGUGGAGAGGUAAGUGGAAUUCCGAGUGUAGAGGUGAAAUUCGUAGAUAUUCGGAAGAACACCAUGUGCGAAGGCGACUUACUGGACACAUAUUGACGCUGAGGUGCGAAAGCGUGGGGAGCAAACAGG